CCUACGGGGGGCUGCAGUCGGGAAUUUUGGGCAAUGGGGGAAACCCUGACCCAGCAACGCCGCGUGAAGGAUGAAGUAUUUCGGUAUGUAAACUUCGAAAGAAUAGGAAGAAUUAAUGACGGUACUAUUUAUAAGGUCCGGCUAACUACGUGCCAGCAGCCGCGGUAAUACGUAGGGACCAAGCGUUGUUCGGAUUUACUGGGCGUAACGGGCGCGUAGGCGGCUUUGUAAGUCACUUGUGAAAUCUCCGGGCUUAACUCGGAACGGCCAAGUGAUACUGCAAAGCUAGAGUGCAGAAGGGGCAAGCGGAAUUCUUGGUGUAGCGGUGAAAUGCGUAGAUAUCAAGAGGAACACCUGAGGUGAAGACGGGUUGCUGGGCUGACACUGACGCUGAGGCGCGAAAGCCAGGGGAGCAAACGGGAUUAGAUACCCCAGUAGUC
rnacentral:rRNA from 1 species